rnacentral:tRNA from 1 species
UCAAGGAAGAAGCACACGCCCCACCAUCAACACCCAAAGCUGAUAUUCUAUCUUAAACUACUCCUUG